GGGGAAUAUUGGACAAUGGGCGAAAGCCUGAUCCAGCCAUGCCGCGUGUGUGAAGAAGGUCUUCGGAUUGUAAAGCACUUUAAGUUGGGAGGAAGGGCUGCAAGUUAAUACCUUGUAGUUUUGACGUUACCAACAGAAUAAGCACCGGCUAACUUCGUGCCAGCAGCCGCGGUAAUACGAAGGGUGCAAGCGUUAAUCGGAAUUACUGGGCGUAAAGCGCGCGUAGGUGGUUUGGUAAGAUGGAUGUGAAAUCCCCGGGCUCAACCUGGGAACUGCAUCCAUAACUGCCUGGCUAGAGUACGGUAGAGGGUGGUGGAAUUUCCUGUGUAGCGGUGAAAUGCGUAGAUAUAGGAAGGAACACCAGUGGCGAAGGCGACCACCUGGACUGAUACUGACGCUGAGGUGCGAAAGCGUGGGGAGCAAACA
rnacentral:rRNA from 1 species